rnacentral:lncRNA from 1 species
AACAUAAUAAUGGUUCACACAAUCACUAAUUUUCAGACAUAAAAUGCAAGGUUCAUAUAAGCACCAACCAGGUGGAUGAUUUAGGACGACCAACGAACAAAUGAUCCAGCUCUAAGAACAUAUUAUGGCACAGAGUACGACACUGACAUAUUACUACACACGACUAGUAUUAGUAGUUCACGACACAUGAUAAGUGUUCAGCAGCAAAAGCAGACAUAGAUGCCCGCCAGAGCCAUUCCCACAGGCAAAGCAAGCACCUUAAGCCCUCUCGCCACGGAUCCUCCUAGCCAGCUGAAUGUCCUUGGGCAUGAUGGUCACGUGCUUGGCAUGGAUGGCGCACAUGUUGGUGUCCUCGAAGAGACCCACUAGGUAGGCCUCUGGAGCCUCCUGAAGGGCCAGCACCGCAUGGCUCUGGAAGCGGAGGCCAGUCUGCACGGACAGAACAGGGUGGUGCUUUUAGUUUACUUGAUUCAUCAUACUAUAAGAGUUGAGAUAACAUGAGCAUAACAAU